rnacentral:rRNA from 1 species
GAACGAACGCUGGCGGCGUGGAUAAGACAUGCAAGUCGAACGAGAGAAUUGCUAGCUUGCUAAUAAUUCUCUAGUGGCGCACGGGUGAGUAACACGUGAGUAACCUGCCCCCGAGAGCGGGAUAGCCCUGGGAAACUGGGAUUAAUACCGCAUAGUAUCGAAAGAUUAAAGCAGCAAUGCGCUUGGGGAUGGGCUCGCGGCCUAUUAGUUAGUUGGUGAGGUAACGGUUCACCAAGGCGAUGACGGGUAGCCGGUCUGAGAGGAUGUCCGGCCACACUGGAACUGAGACACGGUCCAGACACCUACGGGUGGCAGCAGUCGAGAAUCAUUCACAAUGGGGGAAACCCUGAUGGUGCGACGCCGCGUGGGGGAAUGAAGGUCUUCGGAUUGUAAACCCCUGUCAUGUGGGAGCAAAUUAAAAAGAUAGUACCACAAGAGGAAGAGACGGCUAACUCUGUGCCAGCAGCCGCGGUAAUACAGAGGUCUCAAGCGUUGUUCGGAAUCACUGGGCGUAAAGCGUGCGUAGGCUGUUUCGUAAGUCGUGUGUGAAAGGCGCGGGCUCAACCCGCGGACGGCACAUGAUACUGCGAGACUAGAGUAAUGGAGGGGGAACCGGAAUUCUCGUUGUAGCAGUGAAAUGCGUAGAUAUCGAGAGGAACACUCGUGGCGAAGGCGGGUUCCUGGACAUUAACUGACGCUGAGGCACGAAGGCCAGGGGAGCGAAAGA